AUUGAACGCUGGCGGCAGGCCUAACACAUGCAAGUCGAAGCGCGAAAGCACUUCGGUGUGAGUAGAGCGGCGGACGGGUGAGUAACGCGUAAGAAUCUACCUAGUAGUGGGGGACAACUCGGGGAAACUCGAGCUAAUACCGCAUACGCCCUACGGGGGAAAGCGGGGGACCUUCGGGCCUCGCGCUAUUAGAUGAGCUUGCGUUGGAUUAGCUUGUUGGUGAGGUAAUGGCUCACCAAGGCUACGAUCCAUAGCUGGUCUGAGAGGAUGAUCAGCCACACCGGGACUGAGACACGGCCCGGACUCCUACGGGAGGCAGCAGUGGGGAAUAUUGCGCAAUGGGCGAAAGCCUGACGCAGCCAUGCCGCGUGUGUGAAGAAGGCCUUAGGGUUGUAAAGCACUUUCAAUUGGGAGGAAAAGCUAACGACUAAUACUCGUUAGCCUUGACGUUACCUUUAGAAGAAGCACCGGCUAACUCCGUGCCAGCAGCCGCGGUAAUACGGAGGGUGCAAGCGUUAAUCGGAAUUACUGGGCGUAAAGCGCGCGUAGGCGGCUUUUUAAGUCGGAUGUGAAAGCCCCGGGCUCAACCUGGGAACUGCAUCCGAUACUGGAAGGCUAGAGUGCGAGAGAGGGAGGUAGAAUUCCAUGUGUAGCGGUGAAAUGCGUAGAUAUAUGGAGGAAUACCAGUGGCGAAGGCGGCCUCCUGGCUCGACACUGACGCUGA
rnacentral:rRNA from 1 species